UCCCUAGUAGCUCAGAUGGUAAAGCAUCUGCCUACAAUGCAGGAGACCCGGGUUAAAUCCCUGGGUUGGGAA
rnacentral:tRNA from 1 species